AUGUCAACUUUUAAUGAAACGUCAUUUUCCAGCUAACUAAAUGUUUGAAAAUAGUGCAGGAAGAACGACGACGAAGGAAGUGAAUAAUAUAGUAAAUAACAACACGACCGAAGCUAUCCAUAUACUUAUUUUACUGAUUAAUAUUACAAAUGUGAAGAUGUGUUUUUCUUUCUGUGUAUUUGUUUGUCAUUCUUUCACUUCGAAAUGAAACAACGGAUUAAUAUUGUUUCUUUUAAAUUAUUUUUAUGUUAUCAUUGUCCGAGACUGGCCGUCAUACCUGAGGGGUCAAGAUCAGUUGUCAGUCAGUUUAAUGAAAGUUUGAAAAUACCGUGGAUACCUAAGAGCUCGUCUAUUUAAUCUCUCAAGAACAACAGCAUCACCAAUAUGAGACAACGACAGGGAUAUGAAGGAAAAAAACUAAUAAUAAUUCUAUUUUUAAUCGAGUAUCCAAGUCGAUCGAUAGAUAAACGUCAUCGAGAAAGUUUUGUAACGCCAUCGUGACGAUGACUGCACCAGGUGCAGUGCCAAACGGGUUCACUCGUUGUCGCAACGUUGAUUCAUUCAUUAAUAAAUAAAUUAAUUUAAAAA